rnacentral:rRNA from 1 species
CACGUGGGGGCCAAGCGUUGUCCGGAUUUAUUGGGCGUAAAGAGCUCGUAGGCGGUUCGACAAGUCGGGUGUGAAAACUCCGGGCUCAACCCGGAGACGCCACCCGAUACUGUCGUGACUGGAGUCCGGUAGGGGAGUGGGGAAUUCCUGGUGUAGCGGUGAAAUGCGCAGAUAUCAGGAGGAACACCUGUGGUGUAGACAGCUUACUGGACCACGACUGACGCUGAGACACGAAAGCGUGGGUAGCAAACAGG